rnacentral:tRNA from 1 species
CUGAGGUUGCAGCUCAGUGGUAGAGUGCUUGCCUAGCAAGUGUGAGGCACUGGGUUUGAUCCUCAGCACCAUAGG